rnacentral:snRNA from 1 species
CUGUAGACCAGGCUGGCCUCAAACUCAGAGAUCCACUUGACUCUGCCUCCCCGGUGCUGGAAAUAAAGGCAGGCCCCUGCGAUUUCCCCAAAUGCGGAAAACUCGACUGCAUAAUUUGUGGUAGUGGGGGACUGCGUUUGCACUCUCCCCUG